GACAGGUGGUGCAUGGUUGUCGUCAGCUCGUGUCGUGAGAUGUUGGGUUAAGUCCCGCAACGAGCGCAACCCCUGCCUUUAGUUGCAAACAGUUUGGCUGUGCACUCUAGAGGGACUGCCGAUGAGAAAUCGGAGGAAGGUGGGGAUGACGUCAAAUCAUCAUGCCCUUUAUGUCCUGGGCUACACACGUGCUACAAUGGUCGGUACAACGGGUUGCCACCUCGCGAGAGGGCGCUAAUCCCACAAAGCCGAUCCCAGUUCGGAUUGUAGGCUGCAAUUCGCCUACAUGAAGCUGGAGUUGCUAGUAAUCGCGAAUCAGAAUGUCGCGGUGAAUACGUUCCCGGGUCUUGUACACACCGCCCGUCACACCAUGGAAGUUGACAAUACCCGAAGCCAGUGAGCCAACCAUUUGGAGGCAGCUGUCGAAGGUAGGGCCAAUGACUGGGGUGAAGUCGUAACAAGGUAGCCGUAUCGGAAGGUGCGGCUGGAUCACCUCCUUU
rnacentral:rRNA from 1 species